GGGUCAGUAGGUUGGUCGUGCCACCGGUACGUACUGGUCUCACUGACUCCUCCUUCCUGAAGAACCGUAAUGCCAUUAAUUUGGUGUUGCGGGGAAACAGGACUGUUACUUUGAAAAAAUUAGAGUGUUUAAAGCAAGCUAACGCUUGAAUACAUUAGCAUAGACUAAUGAAAUAGGACGAUCGAUCCUAUUUUGUUGGUUUCUAGGAUUGACGUA
rnacentral:rRNA from 1 species